GAGUUCCUACAAAGGUUUUGGACAGUGAUUUUAACCCUAACGCCAUUAAGCUUAAACCUUACCCUGGCCUUUAAAUCUAAUACCCGGGUAUUACCACAGGAAGCCCGAAAACCCCAAAUAUUUUUUUUUCCUUUUUUAAUAUUUUUUUGGUCUAAGUAACUCCAAAAGGUUGGAAAAGAGUUCCUACAAAGGUUUUGGACAGUGAUUUUAACCCUAACGCCAAAAACCUUAAACCUUACCAUAGCCCCAUAACCUAAUACCGGGUAUUACUUUUAGGAAGCCUGAACACCCCAAAUAUUUUUUUUUCAUUUUUCUUUUUUUUUUUGGUCUAACUAACUCCAAAAGGUUCGAAAAGAGUUCCUACAAAGGUUUUGGACAGUGAUUUUAACCCUAACGCCAUAAACCUUAAACCUUACCCUAGCCCCAUAACCUAAUACCUGGGUAUUACAUUCAGGAAGCACAAAAACCCCAAAUAUUUUUUUUUCAUUUUUCUUUUUUUUUUUGGUCUAACUAACUCCAAAAGGUUGGGAAAGAGUUCCUACAAAGGUUUUGGACAGUGAUUUUAACCCUAAUGCCAAAAACCUUAAACCUUACCAUAGCCCCAUAACCUAAUACCCGGGUAUUACUUUGAGGAAGCCUGAACACCCCAAAUAUUUUUUUUCAUUUUUCGUUUUUUUUUUGGUCUAAGUAACUCCAAAAGGUUGGAAAAGAGUUCCUACAAAGGUUUUGGACAGUGAUUUUAACCCUAACGCCAUUAAGCUUAAACCUUACCCUGGCCUUUAAAUCUAAUACCCGGGUAUUACCACAGGAAGCCCGAAAACCCCAAAUAUUUUUUUCCUUUUAAUAUUUUUUUGGUCUAAGUAACUCCAAAAGGUUGGAAAAGAGUUCCUACAAAGGUUUUGGACAGUGAUUUUAACCCUAACGCCAAAAACCUUAAACCUUACCAUAGCCCCAUAACCUAAUACCGGGGUAUUACUUUUAGGAAGCCUGAACACCCCAAAUAUUUUUUUUUCAUUUUUCUUUUUUUUUUGGUCUAACUAACUCCAGAAGGUUCGAAAAGAGUUCCUACAAAGGUUUUGGACAGUGAUUUUAACCCUAACGCCAUAAAACUUAAACCUUACCCUAGCCCCAUAACCUAAUACCUGGGUAUUACAUUCAGGAAGCACAAAAACCCCAAACAUUUUUUUUUCAUUUUUCAUUUUUUUUUGGUCUAACUAACUCCAAAAGGUUGGGAAAGAGUUCCUACAAAGGUUUUGGACAGUGAUUUUAACCCUAACGCCAAAAACCUUAAACCUUACCAUAGCCCCAUAACCUAAUACCCGGGUAUUACUUUUAGGAAGCCUGAACACCCCAAAUAUUUUUUUUUCAUUUUUCUUUUUUUUUUUGGUCUAAGUAACUCCAAAAGGUUGGAAAAGAGUUCCUACAAAGGUUUUGGACAGUGAUUUUAACCCUAACGCCAUUAAGCUUAAACCUUACCCUAGCCUUUAAAUCUAAUACCCGGGUAUUACCACAGGAAGCCCGAACACCCCAAAUAUAUUUAUUUCUUUUUUCAUAUUUUUUUGGUCUAAGUAACUCCAAAAGGUUGGAAAAGAGUUCCUACAAAGGUUUUGGACAGUGAUUUUAACCCUAACGCCGAAAACCUUAAACCUUACCAUAGCCCCAUAACCUAAUACCCGGGUAUUACUUUUAGGAAGCCCGAACACCCAAUAUAUAUUUUUUUUCAUUUUACAUUUUUGUUGGUGUAGCCAACUCCAAAAGGUUGGAAAAGAGUUCUUACAAAGGUUUUGGACAGUGAUUUUAACCCUAAUGCCAAAAACCUUAAACCUUACCAUAGCCCCAUAACCUAAUACCCGGGUAUUACUUUUAGGAAGCCUGAACACCCCAAAUAUUUUUUUUUCAUUUUUCUUUUUUUUUUUUGGUCUAACUAACUCCAAAAGGUUCGGAAAAGAGUUCCUACAAAGGUUUUGGACAGUGAUUUUAACCCUAAUGCCAUAAACCUUAAACCUUACCAUAGCCCCAUAACCUAAUACCCGGGUAUUACUUUGAGGAAGCCUGAACACCCCAAAUAUUUUUUUUUCUUUUUUCAUAUUUUUUUGGUCUAAGUAACUCCAAAAGGUUGGAAAAGAGUUCCUACAAAGGUUUUGGACAGUGAUUUUAACCCUAACGCCAAAAAACUUAAACCUAACCCUAGCCUUAAAAUCUAAUACCCGGGUAUUACAUUCAGGAAGCCCGAAAACCCCAAACAUUUUUUUUUUCAUUUUUCUUUUUUUUUUGGUCUAACUAACUCCAAAAGGUUGGGAAAGAGUUCCUACAAAGGUUUUGGACAGUGAUUUUAAACCUAAUGCCAAAAACUUUAAACCUUACCAUAGCCCCAUAACCUAAUACCCGGGUAUUACUUUUAGGAAGCCUGAACACCCCAAAUAUUUUUUUUUCAUUUUUCAUUUUUUUUUUUUUGGUCUAACUAACUCCAAAAGGUUGGAAAAGAGUUCCUACAAAGGUUUUGGACAGUGAUUUUAAACCUAAUGCCAUUAAGCUUAAACCUUACCAUAGCCCCAUAACCUAAUACCCGGGUAUUACCUUCAGGAAGCCCGAACACCCCAAAUAUUUUUUUUUUUCAUUUUACAUUUUUGUUGGUGUAACCAACUCCAAAAGGUUGGAAAAGAGUUCCUACAAAGGUUUUGGACAGUGAUUUUAACCCUAAUGCCAAAAACAUUAAACCUUACCAUAGCCCCAUAACCUAAUACCCGGGUAUUACCUUCAGGAAGCCCGAACACCCCAAAUAUUUUUUUUUUUCAUUUUACAUUUUUGUUGGUGUAACCAACUCCAAAAGGUUGGUGUUACACCCCACCCUUAGGCGGCCCUAUGGGGCUAACAACAAUCCUCAACUUUUUACCCAUCAAAUUAACCAAAACACCUUCAAAAGUUUAACACCUGAUUUAUUGUGAAAAAACAACAAAAUUGCAAACUAAACACAAAGCACCCACAACACAAAUGAGAGGCAGCAGGGCAGCAGUUCCCCACCAAAUGCCUCUCCAGAUUGCAGGCAGCUCUGGGCUUUUAGACUCCCAGCACCAGGUGAGUCUGAUUGUCACUCAAGUGAUUUCACCUGGGCAGCUAUGGAGAGACAAAAGAGGAAAACACAUGCAAAACAAACACACAGCCGUAACAGUUGGAAAAGAGUUCCUACAAAUGUUUUGGACAGUGAUUUUAACCCUAACGCCAUAAAACUUAAACCUUACCCUAGCCUUAAAAUCUAAUACCCGGGUAUUACUUUUAGGAAGCCCGAACACCCCAUAUAUAUAUUUUUUUCAUUUUUCUUUUUUUUUUGGUCUAACUAGCUCCAAAAAAUUGGAAAAGAGUUCCUACAAAGGUUUUGGACAGUGAUUUUAACCCUAACGCCAAAAACCUUAAACCUUACCCUAGCCUUAAAAUCUAAUACCCGGGUAUUACAUUCAGGAAGCCCGAAAACCCCAAACAUUUUUUUUUCAUUUUUCAUUUUUUUUUGGUCUAACUAACUCCAAAAGGUUGGGAAAGAGUUCCUACAAAGGUUUUGGACAGUGAUUUUAAACCCUAAUGCCAAAAACUUUAAACCUUACCAUAGCCCCAUAACCUAAUACCCGGGUAUUACUUUUAGGAAGCCCGAACACCCCAUAUAUAUUUUUUUUCAUUUUACAUUUUUGUUGGUGUAACCAACUCCAAAAGGUUGGAAAAGAGUUCUUACAAAGGUUUUGGACAGUGAUUUUAACCCUAACGCCAAAAACCUUAAACCUUACCAUAGCCCCAUAACCUAAUACCCGGGUAUUACUUUUAGGAAGCCUGAACACCCCAAAUAUUUUUUUUUCAUUUUUCGUUUUUUUUUUUGGUCUAACUAACUCCAAAAGGUUCGAAAAGAGUUCCUACAAAGGUUUUGGACAGUGAUUUUAACCCUAACGCCAUUAAGCUUAAACCUUACCCUAGCCUUUAAAUCUAAUACCCGGGUAUUACCACAGGAAGCCCGAAAACCCCAAAUAUUUUUUUUUCCUUUUUUAAUAUUUUUUUGGUCUAAGUAACUCCAAAAGGUUGGAAAAGAGUUCCUACAAAGGUUUUGGACAGUGAUUUUAACCCUAACGCCAAAAACCUUAAACCUUACCAUAGCCCCAUAACCUAAUACCCGGGUAUUACUUUUAGGAAGCCUGAACACCCCAAAUAUUUUUUUUUCUUUUUUUUUUUUUGGUCUAACUAACUCCAGAAGGUUCGAAAAGAGUUCCUACAAAGGUUUUGGACAGUGAUUUUAACCCUAACGCCAUAAAACUUAAACCUUACCCUAGCCCCAUAACCUAAUACCUGGGUAUUACAUUCAGGAAGCACAAAAACCCCAAACAUUUUUUUUUCAUUUUUCAUUUUUUUUUGGUCUAACUAACUCCAAAAGGUUGGGAAAGAGUUCCUACAAAGGUUUUGGACAGUGAUUUUAACCCUAAUGCCAUAAACCUUAAACCUUACCAUAGCCCCAUAACCUAAUACCCGGGUAUUACUUUUAGGAAGCCUGAACACCCCAAAUAUUUUUUUUUCAUUUUUCGUUUUUUUUUUUGGUCUAAGUAACUCCAAAAGGUUGGAAAAGAGUUCCUACAAAGGUUUUGGACAGUGAUUUUAACCCUAACGCCAUUAAGCUUAAACCUUACCCUAGCCUUUAAAUCUAAUACCCGGGUAUUACCACAGGAAGCCCGAACACCCCAAAUAUUUUUUUUUUUUUUCAUAUUUUUUUGGUCUAAGUAACUCCAAAAGGUUGGAAAAGAGUUCCUACAAAGGUUUUGGACAGUGAUUUUAACCCUAACGCCAAAAACCUUAAACCUUACCAUAGCCCCAUAACCUAAUACCCGGGUAUUACUUUUAGGAAGCCCGAACACCCCAUAUAUUUUUUUUUUCAUUUUACAUUUUUGUUGGUGUAGCCAACUCCAAAAGGUUGGAAAAGAGUUCUUACAAAGGUUUUGGACAGUGAUUUUAACCCUAAUGCCAAAAACCUUAAACCUUACCAUAGCCCCAUAACCUAAUACCCGGGUAUUACUUUUAGGAAGCCUGAACACCCCAAAUAUUUUUUUUUCAUUUUUCGUUUUUUUUUUGGUCUAAGUAACUCCAAAAGGUUGGAAAAGAGUUCCUACAAAGGUUUUGGACAGUGAUUUUAACCCUAACGCCAUUAAGCUUAAACCUUACCCUAGCCUUUAAAUCUAAUACCCGGGUAUUACCACAGGAAGCCCGAACACCCCAAAUAUUUUUUUUUCUUUUUUCAUAUUUUUUUGGUCUAAGUAACUCCAAAAGGUUGGAAAAGAGUUCCUACAAAGGUUUUGGACAGUGAUUUUAACCCUAACGCCAAAAACCUUAAACCUUACCAUAGCCCCAUAACCUAAUACCCGGGUAUUACUUUUAGGAAGCCCGAACACCCCAUAUAUUUUUUUUUUCAUUUUACAUUUUUGUUGGUGUAGCCAACUCCAAAAGGUUGGAAAAGAGUUCUUACAAAGGUUUUGGACAGUGAUUUUAACCCUAAUGCCAAAAACCUUAAACCUUACCAUAGCCCCAUAACCUAAUACCCGGGUAUUACUUUUAGGAAGCCUGAACACCCCAAAUAUUUUUUUUUCAUUUUUCGUUUUUUUUUUGGUCUAACUAACUCCAAAAGGUUCUAAAAGAGUUCCUACAAAGGUUUUGGACAGUGAUUUUAACCCUAACGCCAUUAAGCUUAAACCUUACCCUGGCCUUUAAAUCUAAUACCCGGGUAUUACCACAGGAAGCCCGAAAACCCCAAAUAUUUUUUUUUCCUUUUUUAAUAUUUUUUUGGUCUAAGUAACUCCAAAAGGUUGGAAAAGAGUUCCUACAAAGGUUUUGGACAGUGAUUUUAACCCUAACGCCAAAAACCUUAAACCUUACCAUAGCCCCAUAACCUAAUACCGGGGUAUUACUUUUAGGAAGCCUGAACACCCCAAAUAUUUUUUUUUCAUUUUUCUUUUUUUUUUGGUCUAACUAACUCCAAAAGGUUCGAAAAGAGUUCCUACAAAGGUUUUGGACAGUGAUUUUAACCCUAACGCCAUAAAACUUAAACCUUACCCUAGCCCCAUAACCUAAUACCUGGGUAUUACAUUCAGGAAGCACAAAAACCCCAAACAUUUUUUUUUCAUUUUUCAUUUUUUUUUGGUCUAACUAACUCCAAAAGGUUGGGAAAGAGUUCCUACAAAGGUUUUGGACAGUGAUUUUAACCCUAAUGCCAAAAACCUUAAACCUUACCAUAGCCCCAUAACCUAAUACCCGGGUAUUACUUUUAGGAAGCCUGAACACCCCAAAUAUUUUUUUUCAUUUUUCGUUUUUUUUUUGGUCUAAGUAACUCCAAAAGGUUGGAAAAGAGUUCCUACAAAGGUUUUGGACAGUGAUUUUAACCCUAACGCCAUUAAGCUUAAACCUUACCCUAGCCUUUAAAUCUAAUACCCGGGUAUUACCACAGGAAGCCCGAACACCCCAAAUAUUUUUUUUUCUUUUUUCAUAUUUUUUUGGUCUAAGUAACUCCAAAAGGUUGGAAAAGAGUUCCUACAAAGGUUUUGGACAGUGAUUUUAACCCUAACGCCAAAAACCUUAAACCUUACCAUAGCCCCAUAACCUAAUACCCGGGUAUUACUUUUAGGAAGCCCGAACACCCCAUAUAUUUUUUUUUUCAUUUUACAUUUUUGUUGGUGUAGCCAACUCCAAAAGGUUGGAAAAGAGUUCUUACAAAGGUUUUGGACAGUGAUUUUAACCCUAAUGCCAAAAACCUUAAACCUUACCAUAGCCCCAUAACCUAAUACCCGGGUAUUACUUUUAGGAAGCCUGAACACCCCAAAUAUUUUUUGUUCAUUUUUCUUUUUUUUUUGGUCUAACUAACUCCAAAAGGUUGGGAAAGAGUUCCUACAAAGGUUUUGGACAGUGAUUUUAACCCUAAUGCCAUAAACCUUAAACCUUACCAUAGCCCCAUAACCUAAUACCCGGGUAUUACUUUGAGGAAGCCUGAACACCCCAAAUAUUUUUUUCAUUUUUCGUUUUUUUUUGGUCUAAGUAACUCCAAAAGGUUGGAAAAGAGUUCCUACAAAGGUUUUGGACAGUGAUUUUAACCCUAACGCCAUUAAGCUUAAACCUUACCCUGGCCUUUAAAUCUAAUACCCGGGUAUUACCACAGGAAGCCCGAAACCCCAAAUAUUUUUUUUUUUUUUAAUAUUUUUUUGGUCUAAGUAACUCCAAAAGGUUGGAAAAGAGUUCCUACAAAGGUUUUGGACAGUGAUUUUAACCCUAACGCCAAAAACGUUAAACCUUACCAUAGCCCCAUAACCUAAUACCGGGGUAUUACUUUUAGGAAGCCUGAACACCCCAAAUAUUUUUUUUUCAUUUUUCUUUUUUUUUUUGGUCUAACUAACUCCAGAAGGUUCGAAAAGAGUUCCUACAAAGGUUUUGGACAGUGAUUUUAACCCUAACGCCAUAAAACUUAAACCUUACCCUAGCCCCAUAACCUAAUACCUGGGUAUUACAUUCAGGAAGCACAAAAACCCCAAACAUUUUUUUUUCAUUUUUCAUUUUUUUUUUGGUCUAACUAACUCCAAAAGGUUGGGAAAGAGUUCCUACAAAGGUUUUGGACAGUGAUUUUAACCCUAACGCCAAAAACCUUAAACCUUACCAUAGCCCCAUAACCUAAUACCCGGGUAUUACUUUUAGGAAGCCUGAACACCCCAAAUAUUUUUUUUUCAUUUUUCUUUUUUUUUUUGGUCUAAGUAACUCCAAAAGGUUGGAAAAGAGUUCCUACAAAGGUUUUGGACAGUGAUUUUAACCCUAACGCCAUUAAGCUUAAACCUUAGCCUAGCCUUUAAAUCUAAUACCCGGGUAUUACCACAGGAAGCCCGAACACCCCAAAUAUAUUUAUUUCUUUUUUCAUAUUUUUUUGGUAUAAGUAACUCCAAAAGGUUGGAAAAGAGUUCCUACAAAGGUUUUGGACAGUGAUUUUAACCCUAACGCCGAAAACCUUAAACCUUACCAUAGCCCCAUAACCUAAUACCCGGGUAUUACUUUUAGGAAGCCCGAACACCCAAUAUAUAUUUUUUUUCAUUUUACAUUUUUGUUGGUGUAGCCAACUCCAAAAGGUUGGAAAAGAGUUCUUACAAAGGUUUUGGACAGUGAUUUUAACCCUAAUGCCAAAAACCUUAAACCUUACCAUAGCCCCAUAACCUAAUACCCGGGUAUUACUUUUAGGAAGCCUGAACACCCCAAAUAUUUUUUUUUCAUUUUUCUUUUUUUUUUGGUCUAACUAACUCCAAAAGGUUCGAAAAGAGUUCCUACAAAGGUUUUGGACAGUGAUUUUAACCCUAAUGCCAUAAACCUUAAACCUUACCAUAGCCCCAUAACCUAAUACCCGGGUAUUACUUUGAGGAAGCCUGAACACCCCAAAUAUUUUUUUUUCUUUUUUCAUAUUUUUUUGGUCUAAGUAACUCCAAAAGGUUGGAAAAGAGUUCCUACAAAGGUUUUGGACAGUGAUUUUAACCCUAACGCCAAAAAACUUAAACCUAACCCUAGCCUUAAAAUCUAAUACCCGGGUAUUACAUUCAGGAAGCCCGAAAACCCCAAACAUUUUUUUUUCAUUUUUCAUUUUUUUUUGGUCUAACUAACUCCAAAAGGUUGGGAAAGAGUUCCUACAAAGGUUUUGGACAGUGAUUUUAAACCUAAUGCCAAAAACUUUAAACCUUACCAUAGCCCCAUAACCUAAUACCCGGGUAUUACUUUUAGGAAGCCUGAACACCCCAAAUAUUUUUUUUUCAUUUUUCAUUUUUUUUUUUUUGGUCUAACUAACUCCAAAAGGUUGGAAAAGAGUUCCUACAAAGGUUUUGGACAGUGAUUUUAAACCUAAUGCCAUUAAGCUUAAACCUUACCAUAGCCCCAUAACCUAAUACCCGGGUAUUACCUUCAGGAAGCCCGAACACCCCAAAUAUUUUUUUUUUCAUUUUACAUUUUUGUUGGUGUAACCAACUCCAAAAGGUUGGAAAAGAGUUCCUACAAAGGUUUUGGACAGUGAUUUUAACCCUAAUGCCAAAAACAUUAAACCUUACCAUAGCCCCAUAACCUAAUACCCGGGUAUUACCUUCAGGAAGCCCGAACACCCCUAAUAUUUUUUUUUCAUUUUACAUUUUUGUUGGUGUAACCAACUCCAAAAGGUUGGUGUUACACCCCACCCUUAGGCGGCCCUAUGGGGCUAACAACAAUCCUCAACUUUUUACCCAUCAAAUUAACCAAAACACCUUCAAAAGUUUAACACCUGAUUUAUUGUGAAAAAACAACAAAAUUGCAAACUAAACACAAAGCACCCACAACACAAAUGAGAGGCAGCAGGGCAGCAGUUCCCCACCAAAUGCCUCUCCAGACUGCAGGCAGCUCUGGGCUUUUAGACUCCCAGCACCAGGUGAGUCUGAUUGUCACUCAAGUGAUUUCACCUGGGCAGCUAUGGAGAGACAAAAGAGGAAAACACAUGCAAAACAAACACACAGCCGUAACAGUUGGAAAAGAGUUCCUACAAAUGUUUUGGACAGUGAUUUUAACCCUAACGCCA